ACCUGGCUGGCUCAUUUGUUGGAGUAUGCGACUCUUGAUCUCAGGGUUGUGGGUUUGAGCCCCACACUGGGUG
rnacentral:tRNA from 1 species